rnacentral:rRNA from 1 species
CUAACGAGGAUUUCCUUAGUAACGGCGAGUGAAACGGAAAAAGCCCAACGCUGAAUCCAAUAGGCAAUAUUUGACUAUAUGGAAAUGUAGCGUAUAGGUAUAACUAUCCGUAACAUAUUUUUACACCCAAAGUCCCCUUGAGCGGGGCUACAGUCCAUAGAAGGUGCUAGACCUGUACGGGUGAAAAAAAGUUAUGGUAGGUUAUUCCUUGGAGUCGGGUUGUUUGAGAUUGCAGCCCAAAGAGGGUGGUAAACCUCAUCUAAGGCUAAAUACGACCACGAGACCGAUAGCAAACAAGUACCGUGAGGGAAAGUUGCAAAGAACUUUGAAGAGAGAGUUCAAGAGGGCGUGAAACCGCUGAGAUGGAAACGGAUAGAGUUAACGAAACUUAUCGGUAUUCAACCAAUCAAUUUAGCAAUCUUAAUUGAUUUAUUAUUCAUUUUAAUGAAUAAAAUGAUAUUUUAAGAUAUUAAUGCUAAAUUAAAAUUAAAAAAAAGAUGAUUGGUGUAUUUACCGAUGGUAUGCAUCGAGUGCUUCGUUUAUAGCAUAUUAAUACAAUUAAUUUAGUGGACCAAUUAUUGCGAAAUAAUAAUUGGAAUCCUAAAUAUGUUGAAAUAUGUCUUUGAUGAAGUUUUAAUCCCAUAUAUGUAACUUUCACUUGAAAUAAUAGUGACAUUCAUCGAUUAUAAUUUUACUAAUUACAUUUACAUGUGGUCGCAUGCGACUUGAUCAGUAAAUGGUGAUAAUUUGAAUUGGUAAAGUUAUAAUAUUGUAUGAAAAAUAUAAGUUACAUCUCGAUGUGAACGUUAAUCACCUAUCUGACCCGUCUUGAAACACGGACCAAGGAGU